rnacentral:lncRNA from 1 species
CCGUUCCUGACAAAGGCCAGACGGUGAGUGAGAAGAAAUGAACUUGGGCCAGAGGCUGGGUUUCUGCGUACAAGAGGGAGAAUGGAGCAACAGGGCCCUGCGGGGUAGCGGGGGCCCAGUGACAGGCCAGAGGCUUAGUCUCUAGCCUUAGAGCCACCGACGGGUUCUACAUGGGAAAUGGCAUGAUUAGUUUGCAUUUUUAGAAGAUCACUCGUGUGUCAGUGGAGGGAACGCAUGUUCAGGAGCCAGUGGGGAUCUGUUUAACCACCGCUUUAUGAAAGGUCUACCGUGCUCCGACCAAGGCCUGGGCCUGGACACCACAGUGAGAGGGAAGUGAAGGUCCCUGUUCUGUCAGAAACUCCAGUCCAGUGGGCAAGGACAGAGAAUACACAAACACAUGGAUUCAGAGGAAAGACCAACAUAAAUAAUUCGUAUGAUCAAGUAAGUUCCAGAACCGGUGUACAGGUAGAAGUCCGCACCCAGCCCCAGUUGUCCAGCCCAGCCCUGGAAGCUGCUGACUCUAGAUCAGAGGUACUCAAACCGAGGUGGAGCGUCUCUUUGGCAAUAUUGUGACUGGAGAUAAACGGCCAGACUAGAAGCUGUUUGAAAGGUGUCUUCAGGCCCCCCAGCUCAAUGAAUCAGCGCUUCCAUCCUGUGUCCCGUGGGACGCCAAACACGCUCCACCCCCUGCUGAUUCUUUUCAGGAACUUUGACAACUCCAUUCCAGGGCACGAAAGCAAAACUGAGCAGUCCUGUGUCUUCCUGCCCCGUCAGCGACAGGUUUGGAUAAGACCAGUCUCAAGGACCUGGUGGGUUUUGCCCCUUUGUCUUUCUCAAGGCUACAUUGUGGAUAUAAUAUUCCUGGUCUGUCACAUAAAUGCCUUUUCAUCUCUCCCCUUUCAAAGUCCAGUUUCCCCCAACUCACCAAGUGGUUGCGGUGCAGCUGUCUCCCACAUUGUUUGGGAUGUUUUUACUUUCCUUGAUUAUGUGUCUGUUAGACCUGGUGCGGCUGAUUUAGUAACCAGACCUACGACACUGGCAACCGGAUUUGUCUGACGGUCAGUCAAUGACAGUGCACUCAGUGAGACCGUCCAAAUAUUUCCAUUUUUCUAGACCCUGCAUUUGGAAUGAAGCUGUCCUUUAAACUCCCCACCAUGAAGUGACCUUCUACUCCCUGAGCUCCUCUGGCUUCCUGGUACAGAGGCGUUGGACAGCCUCCUUUCUCCGCCGCAGCACACUCACCGUUGCAGCUCUGAGAACUGGAGUCUCUCUCACGGUUUUCAAUGGGACCAAUUCAGCGGGGACACAAAUACCCCUCAUGGGAGACAUAUUGGUAUCUCUGGAGGGGUGUGUGCAUGGUGAAAAAUAUAUUCAGUAUAAUUAUUUUUCCACAAUAUAAACUGCAAGACAGAGAGGCUAGAUUCCCUUAGCCUGAGAGGGAAUCAUGGAUAACAGAAAAUAGAGGGAAUAUUCUAUGGGCCUGAGUUAAACACAGGGUGACUGCACGUCCCGG